rnacentral:rRNA from 1 species
CGACACCCUCGAAUCAGCUUGCUGGCGAGAGGAUCUUAAUUACCAUCGAGCUUACUCACUAAAGCUAAGCAGGCCAGAGCCUGGUCAGUACACUGGUGGGAGACCAUUUGUGAAAAUGUAGCUUGCUGC